rnacentral:lncRNA from 1 species
CUCCACUAACAAAACUGAUUAAAUUCCUAAGAACAAUCCAUAGGAGAAAAUACAUAUUUCUCAGGCUAUUAUUUAAAGGUCUUCAUAAUCCACUCAGUGCAUACCUUUCCAUUCUUAUCUCCCACUACUCCCCUUUGUGGAAAGGAAACAAGACUGACAGUUUGUGGGGGAAGGGCCCAAGUGGGAGUGGCAGUUGGGUCUUGUGACUAGCACUUCCUUCCUGCCGGGUGGGACUUGCAUCCUGGUGUUGGAGGAGAGGGGAGCUUGUUCAGCCCAGUCUGGAGAGGCAUGCUCUUCUUGGUUCAGCCGAAGACACAGGCUUCUAAAGGAGAAUCAACACCACUUAAGACACAUUGCUGGGGACUGGGAGAACAUAAUCUGGAUCUCCUGGCAAGUUGUGGCCAUGUGGGUGGCAAUCAAGGUUCUGUCUGCACAUUCAUCAAGGAAGGAGGAGUGACAGGAAGUGACAGGUGGUGACAUGGAAAAAGGGGUUUAAAAAGAGACCAAUAUGGUCUAGCAUGCAUCCCUUUCCUGGCUUCUGGAGAAACUGGUUCUGGAGAUUCCUUUCCUGGUGUAGAGGAAACCUUUUCCCUGGAUCUUGCAUCAGCUUGAGG